GACGAACGCUGGCGGCGUGCUUAACACAUGCAAGUCGAACGGUGAAGGGGAGCUUGCUCCCCGGAUCAGUGGCGAACGGGUGAGUAACACGUGGGCAACCUGCCCCAGACUUCGGGAUAACGCUUCGAAAGAGGUGCUAAUACCGGAUACGAACUCCUUGGGCAUCCUUGGGGUUGGAAAGUUUUUCGGUCUGGGAUGGGCCCGCGGCCUAUCAGCUUGUUGGUGAGGUAACGGCUCACCAAGGCGACGACGGGUAGCCGGCCUGAGAGGGCGACCGGCCACCGUGGAACUGAGACACGGCCAAGACGCCUACGGGAGGCAGCAGGGGGGAAUAUUGCGCAAUGGGCGAAAGCCUGACGCAGCAACGCCGCUUGAGGGAUGACGGCCUUCGGGUUGUAAACCUCUUUCAGCAGGGAAGAAGCGAAAGUGACGGUACCUGCAGAAGAAGCACCGGCUAACUACGUGCCAGCCGCCGCCGUAAUAC
rnacentral:rRNA from 1 species